rnacentral:lncRNA from 1 species
CAUUUAAAAUCACAGAAAUUAAACGUGAGAUAAAAGAAGAUAUCCAUUAAAAACAAUAAGUUCAUACAAUCCCAAGAAUAAAAAAAAAUACAAAACCCUUAUUCUUUUGCUAGGGCUGCAUCCAGCCCUGGAGAGGAGAUUAGCCUUCCAUGGAGUCGUGGGUGACAGCAGCAGUGCAGCAGCGGGCUUCCAUCUAUUCGUUCAUUCUCCUGGAGACUCCACUGAAAAUUGCUCCUUCUCAGCUCUUAUGGGAAGUCAUUCCCAAAAUCCCCCAAACUAAUCUCUCUCCUUUUAUUUCUUCUUCUCGUGGGAACUUGGCCUCUGAGAGAUGUGGAACCAAACCCAAGAAGUUGCCUCCCCCGUUUCAUGCCUGGGCCUUUUAUAAGCUGCCAACUCCCCCUCUCUCCUCUGUUCCGAAUGGGAAGAUAAAGACAUGAGUGAUCCGGCUGAGAUGCGGCUGGGAGGAUAUCUUGCGGAAGAUGGAUGGAGUUCAUCCGGAAUGACGCGGGAAAUAGGGGAUUCGGAAGAAGAUUGAUGCUGUGAGCAAGAUCUUGGAGAAGGUUGGGAGGAAAGCUGCAAUCGUGGGAGGAUGCGGAGUAGAUCUCNNN